rnacentral:rRNA from 1 species
GCUUGCUAUCUGCUGACGAGCGGCGGACGGGUGAGUAAUGCUUGGGAAUAUGCCUUUAGGUGGGGGACAACAGUUGGAAACGACUGCUAAUACCGCAUGAUGUCUACGGACCAAAGUGGGGGACCUUCGGGCCUCACGCCUAAAGAUUAGCCCAAGUGGGAUUAGCUAGUUGGUUGAGGUAAAGGCUCACCAAGGCAACGAUCCCUAGCUGGUUUGAGAGGAUGAUCAGCCACACUGGAACUGAGACACGGUCCAGACUCCUACGGGAGGCAGCAGUGGGGAAUAUUGCACAAUGGGCGCAAGCCUGAUGCAGCCAUGCCGCGUGUGUGAAGAAGGCCCUAGGGUUGUAAAGCACUUUCAGCGAGGAGGAAAGGUUAUAGUUUAAUAGGCUAUAGCUGUGACGUUACUCGCAGAAGAAGCACCGGCUAACUUCGUGCCAGCAGCCGCGGUAAUACGAGGGGUGCAAGCGUUAAUCGGAAUUACUGGGCGUAAAGCGUACGCAGGCGGUUUGUUAAGCGAGAUGUGAAAGCCCCGGGCUCAACCUGGGAACUGCAUUUCGAACUGGCAGACUAGAGUAUGAUAGA